rnacentral:rRNA from 1 species
UGGCGGCGUGCCUAAUACAUGCAAGUCGAACGAGUUCUGAUUAUUGAAAGGUGCUUGCAUCUUGAUUUAAUUUUGAACGAGUGGCGGACGGGUGAGUAACACGUGGGUAACCUGCCCUUAAGUGGGGGAUAACAUUUGGAAACAGAUGCUAAUACCGCAUAAAUCCAAGAACCGCAUGGUUCUUGGCUGAAAGAUGGCGUAAGCUAUCGCUUUUGGAUGGACCCGCGGCGUAUUAGCUAGUUGGUGAGGUAACGGCUCACCAAGGCAAUGAUACGUAGCCGAACUGAGAGGUUGAUCGGCCACAUUGGGACUGAGACACGGCCCAAACUCCUACGGGAGGCAGCAGUAGGGAAUCUUCCACAAUGGACGCAAGUCUGAUGGAGCAACGCCGCGUGAGUGAAGAAGGCUUUCGGGUCGUAAAACUCUGUUGUUGGAGAAGAAUGGUCGGCAGAGUAACUGUUGUCGGCGUGACGGUAUCCAACCAGAAAGCCACGGCUAACUACGUGCCAGCAGCCGCGGUAAUACGUAGGUGGCAAGCGUUAUCCGGAUUUAUUGGGCGUAAAGCGAGCGCAGGCGGUUUUUUAAGUCUGAUGUGAAAGCCCUCGGCUUAACCGAGGAAGUGCAUCGGAAACUGGGAAACUUGAGUGCAGAAGAGGACAGUGGAACUCCAUGUGUAGCGGUGAAAUGCGUAGAUAUAUGGAAGAACACCAGUGGCGAAGGCGGCUGUCUGGUCUGUAACUGACGCUGAGGCUCGAAAGCAUGGGUAGCGAACAGGAUUAGAUACCCUGGUAGUCCAUGCCGUAAACGAUGAAUGCUAGGUGUUGGAGGGUUUCCGCCCUUCAGUGCCGCAGCUAACGCAUUAAGCAUUCCGCCUGGGGAGUACGACCGCAAGGUUGAAACUCAAAGGAAUUGACGGGGGCCCGCACAAGCGGUGGAGCAUGUGGUUUAAUUCGAAGCAACGCGAAGAACCUUACCAGGUCUUGACAUCUUUUGAUCACCUGAGAGAUCAGGUUUCCCCUUCGGGGGCAAAAUGACAGGUGGUGCAUGGUUGUCGUCAGCUCGUGUCGUGAGAUGUUGGGUUAAGUCCCGCAACGAGCGCAACCCUUAUGACUAGUUGCCAGCAUUUAGUUGGGCACUCUAGUAAGACUGCCGGUGACAAACCGGAGGAAGGUGGGGAUGACGUCAAAUCAUCAUGCCCCUUAUGACCUGGGCUACACGCGUGCUACAAUGGAUGGUACAACGAGUUGCGAGACCGCGAGGUCAAGCUAAUCUCUUAAAGCCAUUCUCAGUUCGGACUGUAGGCUGCAACUCGCCUACACGAAGUCGGAGUCGCUAGUAAUCGCGGAUCAGCACGCCGCGGUGAAUACGUUCCCGGGCCUUGUACACACCGCCCGUCACACCAUGAGAGUUUGUAACACCCGAAGCCGGUGGCGUAACCCUUUUAGGGAGCGAGCCGUCUAAGGUGGGACAAAUGAUUAGGGUGAAGUCA